GAACCGGAGCCCCCGCUGCGACUCCGCCGGGACAGCAGCUUCCGGCGCCCCGGCAGCCUCCUGCCCUCGGGGCACUCGCUCCCCCCGAGGUGUACUCCCCGAGGGCUGGGGGAGCGCAUUCCCUCCCGUCCUACUGAUUAACUUUCAGCAAAUGGGGAUGCCCAAAGGAGCAGAUAGCGAGUGACCUGUGGCCCUGCUGUUUGAUUCUGGAUGGAGUUACGUUUAGGAGCCUGGCAGCAAACUGGGGCACCUGUUCAAUUAGUGAUGAUGCCAUACUCUGGUUGAUUUCUGUGGGGCACAUCUGUCCCUUACCAAGAAGAUCAGGCCAAGGAACACCAGGAGGAGAAUCACAGCCACCAGGACCAC
rnacentral:lncRNA from 1 species